CCCGUGCCCCUUCCCCUCCAUCUCUUCCUCUCGGGUCCCAACCCUGGGCUAGGGUUCCAUACGCCGCCGCCUUCGGGCGGACCACACACGCUGACGUCGAGGUCCGAGAGGAGCGGGCCGCCGCUCCGUCUUCCGCCUCCACCAUCUUCCGCCUCCACCGACCUCCGAGGCGCCCUACCCGUGGGACGGCGCCGCCGCCGCCUUGCGGAACCCCAGGGCAGGGCAGGGCGUGGUCGCGUUGCGUGCGGGCAGCGAGGAGCGGCGCACCGGCGCGUGCGUAGCCAGUUAGCGAGAGAGGAAGGGAGGAAGGGAGUGGCGAUUGUCCUGAUGCCCCAGCUCCGAUUGUCCUGCCUGGCUGCCUCCUGAAGCCCCCAAAAGAUCCAUCCACAGCCAGUACUGUUGCCACAGCAAGUUUCUUCAGGUCCAUCGGCAUUCGUGGGAGUGUUCGCAGCGUCGGGCUUGGUCAACGAGUUGACGGAGUCUUCCGGCGUGACGCACCUGCUGUAGAAGUUGGCAUUCAAGGACACGGGGCACCAGGGCCACUUGCAUAUCGUGCGGGAGGUGGAGGCCACGGGGGGCAACAUCGGCGCCUCCACUUCCAGGUAGCAGUUGGUGCACAGCUACGACAUGCUCUCCAGGCAUACAUACCGCAGGCCGUGCGUUGGACAUGCUUCUUUGAUGAUAAGUAACUGACUUCUUCCUCCAAUGGCUGAAACAAGCUUUGUGAUUUACUCCUCUAAUUCUCUUUUGACAUGCUGAUUAAUUCCUCGCAAUUUUCUAGAGUAAAUCCAUUCCCCUGACACCUAUAAUGGAAUUUCACAUGUUUUACUUGCAUGAAUCAAACAUAUAUGUGUGCUGACUACAUGCCCCUGCAGGUGUGUUGAUUCUCAUGUCAAGUUUAGUAAUUGUAGUUAUAUUUCUGCUGGAGCAGGGAACAAUUAUCAAGUUCAUUUACAUCUAUAGGCUGCAGUUGCUUGUUCAUAACUAUGUUUUCCUCCUGCUGCGUCAUUCAGGUCUAUGUUUGUUUUCCUCCUGCUGUGCACUAACCUAGAAGCCUGUAACCAUGUUUGUAGCCUAAAUUAGUACUAUCCCUGGGUGAAGGUAACGUUUCUAGCAAGAGAAUUGAUAAUGCUGAUAGUGUCGUGAUAUUUCAUAGCAUUGUCAAUGUCAGGCAUGUCAAAAUUUUGCUCUCUUUUUACUUAGCCAACUUAUUUUACUACAUGGGGUGUUUUGGAGUUUUGUUUCUAAAACAGAUUCUGUUGAGUUUUGUUCUGGAGUGUUUGUACUGAUGCAUAAAACUACCUGCAUCUAAAAUGGCAUGGUAUUAGUAUUUUUAUUUUUAAAAGUAUGCCACUUGCCUUAAGCUUUCAGUAAAUCAAAGUUAUGUCCUGAUGUUAUCGACACUUGAAUAUACAUUAUGAUUUAAUGCACGUUCAACAAAUAGUCAAUGCAUCACUAUUUUCUGGAAACUGUCUAUUCUAUGUGAAGUUUUGAUUUAAGCUUGAUAUAUUAAUAAUAAUAUUACCAUGUUUCUUGUAAAUGUCUAUUUGCAAACUUUGCAGAUAAAUUGGUGCUUGUAUAUUAUAGAAGUAAGACACUUGAAAAUAGAUUCAACAUAGUUCCUGCACUACCAACUUUUCAUGGUUGACUUCACGUCAGAAAACAAUUAUUCAUCAUGGGCAGUCAUGGUUGUUCCCGACUCCGCAAGAAGAUGAUCGAGGGUUGGCGGCACGGCUGCUUCGUUGUCAUCUUCGACGAGCACCGUCCGACACGAUUUUCCGCUGGCAUGUACCAUGGAAUGUCACUGCUUUUAUCAUGGCAUCCAACACUUGCAGAUGUGACUCAAAAGGGGAUUCUGAAGGUAAUGAACUUGGAUGGCCUGAUAGUGUACCAUACCAACAACCAUCUCCAAGGACACAAACUUGAAAAGUUUCUAAGAUUCAUACACACCUUCAGAAUCAGGUACCUGCUUUGUUCUCUAGAAUUCCUAUGGAUUUUAAGAGGAUGAGCCACCCCGUUUGAUUAUGGUUCUUUCCUACACUCACAGCUAAAACUUGACAAUUUGAACCCUUGAUUGAUGCAAGAGAUUCAAGAUACAACUCAUGGAAUCUGAAAAAUUAGAAAAAAAAAAGGUCAAAAGUCAUUUUUAUUUGAAAAGUGGACGUCGACUUAUUUAUUUGACUGGCUCCGGACGUCCAAGUUAUCUGCUUUAUUCUACUAUGGACUUUUAUUGCCGCAUUAUCAUUUUUUAUUUGCGAGAUGCUGCAUUAUCGUUUAUGUUCUUGCAUAUUCUGUUGGCCCUUAAUACUGCCACUGACGACCAAGUGCUGCAUAUUUAUUUCUCUUUAUAGGAAAAUAUAACUCGUACAGCUAUGAUGAACAUUUCUUUUCAGUAUUUACAUUGGCAUUAUUUUGUCACUGGAUAAUUUUAUUGUCACAUAUAAUGAUGUUUAUGAAUUUGUUCAUGUAUUUUCGAGAUUUAGAUGAGUAUAUAUACUGCCAACCCUUGGUUGUCCUUUCAGACUAGGCCUACCAGGCUACCACGAGGUCACCUCAGUUGAUUUCAGACUAGGCGAGCUCCUGGAUAGCUUUGCAAUUCGAUGCUCGGUAAUGCCUUGUGUACUAUACUUUUACCCUGAUGGUUGUACGACUCAAUGCGGCUAGCAGAUUCACUUGAUUCUUUACUUGAUCUUUCAUCUAUUGGGAUAACCAUGGCCUAUGGGCAUGGAUGCUUGUGUUGCUGGUAUUGUAGAAAUAUCAGACGACAUAAUGUCGCAUGUAUAUCACUGCUCUUUGUAUGGAUGCGGUGGCAUGUGAGAGGACAAGCAGGCAUUGGGCCAUUUACGAAUUGCCAGAACAUUGAGGGUGUGUAACAUGAAAUUGUUUCUACAUGAGCUUGUGCUAAAGGUCUGGUCCUAUUGCAUUCGUAGUUGGAGUUUAAUGACUGCAGCCUAAUUUAUCUUCAUUGGUGUUUGGUCUUUUUUGGGAGAUUCAACAAAUUUCUCCCAAAUUAUCACAAAUGGGGAAGUUUGUCUAAACCAUUAUGUAAAAAGAUUGGAAUGAUUGUCAUAUUAAAGUCAGGCGUAGUUGCAUGAACAAGUGAGUAUUGUAUAGCAAAGCGAUUCUUGCCGGUUCAAAUAUCAGAAUGUGUGUUGGCAACAUAAUAGGGCCAAUAAAAUAAAUGGGACUAUAUUUCUUACAAAUUUACUCUUACAACAAGGUGAGCAGUAUACUACAGAGGCUUGCAGCACGUGGCUCUUUUUUAUGCAAGUUUUCUCGGAACAUUUGAAGGUAGCCUGCAUCUUUCUUACCUUUAUUUGGACUAUUAAUAUGUUCCUUGUCUGAUCCCACCAAAAGAUAUCUCACGCAGCUCUUUAUAAUUUAAUUUAAAGCAGGAUGACUUUCAGCAGUUCCUUUUCAAUCUUCAUGCAUUUAUCAAGAAAGCUAUACUUUGUUAUUUGCAAUGAUAAAAUAGCUACAGCAAAGAUAUACUGAUUUUGUGUUUGAAUCAAUGUGUUCUGUUAUGAUGAAUGCCUCUUUUAUCUGCAAAACUGAUGUGCUCCUUCAGUGGCGGAGCUAAGACCAAAAAACUGGGCGGGCCUACCCAAAUGAGAGUACAAAAAUCAUGUGUAGAUGACAUAUUACAAGCAUAUAAAUAUACGUCUAUAAUACUAACAUGCAUUUUUAACACGCACCUGGCAUCAUCUAAUCUGAGUGUUGUUUACGUGUGCUUCAUGCUCAGAAUACAUCCAUCAGCUAGCUUAAGCUUGCCAGGCUUGCUACCUACGUGUGUUGGCCACAACGGUGGGCGGGCCACGGCAUGCCUUUGCCCCAACGAAGCUCCGCCACUGCGCUCCUUUAUAGGUCUCUUGUUGCAAAACCUGUGGACGGCAUAUUCAUUUCAAGAGACUUGCACUCAAAAGAGAUUAGUUGACAUCAAGUGAUACAAACAAGUGAUUCCCUAGAGAUUCUUGUGUAUAAGCAAUCAGCUAAAUGAGAUUAUUUGACAUCUUGGUUGGUUCCUGAGGUGUACUAUAGUGGUGACCUAUAUCAAUGCUUUGAUCACAUUAAAUUGCAUACAGUAUUUCUCUUCUGCUCGAAAUAGAUGAUGUGGCAAAAGGGUUAUGGACCUGGAACAUUCCAAAGCCUAAAGAAUUCCUUUGAGCUUAAGGGUUGCAUAAGCAAACGAGCGAGAAGUAAGGUGGAGAGUAAAGCUAUAGAAAGUAGGGCGGACAACAAGACUAGACUCACCAUCGUCUGAUUUAGGCGCUGCAGACACAGGUAAUGAAGGGUGACACAGGGAGGGGCAGAGAGGCACUUGCGAUGGAGUCCCAAAACUGUUACCUUCGCUGGAGCCAAAAAAACAUUGCACUAAGGAAGGGAGGCGGCGGGGACAAGAGCAGACAAGCUCCAUCGGUGGUGUGGAGAGGAGGAGUGUUGACGCUGUGGAGGGGAGAGGAGGGGGUGAUCGUGGCAGGGAGAGGAGGGGAGUGGUCGGGUGACGACGUUGAGCAAAGGGAAGGCGCCAUGGAAACGAUGAUUGUGUGGAGAUAGUGAGAGGAUUGCCCUGUCGUGAGGCCUCUUUGUGGUGAGUAUAUGUUAUUGUUAUCACUAUAUUCAAGAUAAUAUCAAUUUAGGAAAUUGCAGAGAUGUGUCCCGGUAUUUUGUUUUUGAUUGUAUGCUCUCAUGGAAUGGUAAUGAAUUGGUUUGUCCAGUUUGCACGAUGAGUAUUAUUUGUUGCACAUUUUGA